UUGGACAAUGGUCGCAAGACUGAUCCAGCCAUGCCGCGUGCAGGAAGACGGCCCUAUGGGUUGUAAACUGCUUUUGUACCAGAGAAAACCUAUCUACGUGUAGAUAGCUGAUAGUAUGGUAAGAAUAAGCAUCGGCUAACUUCGUGCCAGCAGCCGCGGUAAGACGAAGGAUGCAAGCGUUAUCCGGAUUCGUUGGGUUUAAGGGUGCGUAGGCGGGCUUGUAAGUCAGUGGUGAAAUCUCUCAGCUUAACUGAGAAACUGCCAUUGAUACUGCAGGCCUAGAGUAUAGAUGACGUUGGCGGAAUAUGACAUGUAGUGGUGAAAUACUUAGAUAUGUCAUAGAACACCGAUUGCGAAGGCAGCUAACGAAACUAUAACUGACGCUGAGGCACGAAAGUGCGGGGAUCAAACA
rnacentral:rRNA from 1 species